GUGUGUACACGUCUGUAACACGACGUUAAUAGUGUGAUUAAGGUGUGUACACGUCUGUAACACGUGUUAAUAGUGUGAUUAAGGUGUGUACACGUCUGUAACACGUGUUAACAGUGUGAUUAAGGUGUGUACACGUCCGUAACACGUGUUAAUAGUGUGAUUAAGGUGUGUACACGUCUGUAACACGUGUUAAUAGUGUGAUUAAGGUGUGUACACGUCUGUAACACGUGUUAACAGUGUGAUUAAGGUGUGUACACGUCUGUAACGCGACGUUAAUAGUGUGAUUAAGGUGUGUACACGUCUGUAACACGUGUUAAUAGUGUGAUUAAGGUGUGUACACGUCUGUAACGCGACGUUAAUAGUGUGAUUAAGGUGUGUACACGUCUGUAACACGUGUUAAUAGUGUGAUUAAGGUGUGUACACGUCUGUAACACGUGUUAAUAGUGUGAUUAAGGUGUGUACACGUCCGUAACGUGACUAAAACAGGAAAAACUCCACACGUUUAAUUCCAUCUGUGUUUACUUCGAGUGUGACUUUAAUCAGAUUAAGAUCAUCAGUAAUCUCUGUUUACAUGCUGCUGUCUUAAUCAGAGUAUCGUCUUAAUCGGAUUAAUAUCGGAUUAUCGCCGUCCGUGUAAACAAACUGAUUGUCUCGACAUCAUUUC
ensembl:lncRNA